GAACGCUGGCGGCAGGCCUAACACAUGCAAGUCGAACGGUAACAGGAAUUAGCUUGCUAAUUUGCUGACGAGUGGCGGACGGGUGAGUAAUGCUUGGGAACUUGCCUUUGCGAGGGGGAUAACAGUUGGAAACGACUGCUAAUACCGCAUAAUGUCUUCGGACCAAACGGGGCUUCGGCUCCGGCGCAAAGAGAGGCCCAAGUGAGAUUAGCUAGUUGGUAAGGUAAAGGCUUACCAAGGCGACGAUCUCUAGCUGUUCUGAGAGGAAGAUCAGCCACACUGGGACUGAGACACGGCCCAGACUCCUACGGGAGG
rnacentral:rRNA from 1 species